GGGGUCUUGUCGUAAGAUGAGACAUUCCGAGUGGCGAACGGGUGAGUAACACGUAGGCGACCUGCUCUGAAGAGGGGGAUAACGUUUCGAAAGGGAUGCUAAUACCCCAUAAGCCCACGAGAGUCAGAGGUCUCGUGAGAAAAGGGAGCAAUCCGCUUCAGGAGGGGACUGCGGGCCAUCAGGUAGUUGGUGAGGUAAUGGCUCACCAAGCCGAAGACGGAUAGGGGGCCUGAGAGGGUGGUCCUCCACACGGGCACUGAGAGGCGGGCCCGACUCCUACGGGAGGCAGCAGUGGG
rnacentral:misc_RNA from 1 species